ensembl:lncRNA
UCAAAACAUCUGCACACACUUCCUUUCUCCUGUCACAUACAUCACUGUCUAAGUAUUUUGCCUACUUAUUUGCUUAUUGUCUGUCUCCCCACUGGAACCGAAGAUCCUUGAGGGCAGGGUCUUCUCUGUUUGGGUCCCUGCUGGAUCCCAGCGCCCAGGACCAUGCUGGCCUCCCGCGGGUGCCCAGCACACUCUUGCAGGAACAGCUGUCGUGUGAGAUGGGCAGAGUCUGAGACCCACUUCACACGUAAGGUUUCGGAAGCCCCAUGGCUCCUCUGAAGAUCUGCUCUGUAUCAUCCCCAAAUCCUCAUUUGACAAGGUAGAUGCUCUUUUGGAUGGAAGAGGAAGCUGCACUAAGAGUUUCUAGAAGUUUACCUCUGCAGCAACAUUUGGCCCACCAAAGAAAGUUGCCGGCUGCGCUGGAUGCGGGCCACUCUCGCUGCUGCCGCGGAGCGCGGCGCACAGACGGCCGGCUGGGAGCGCGGGGCGCGGGCCGCGGGGCACCCCUGCCCGGCCGCGGCAGCUGAUCCCGCCCCGCUGUGCACCCCACCUCAGUCCCAGGCUCCCGUGACCUGGGAGUAAUCAUGUGGCUUUCUUGAAAAGCUGGUAGUAAUUCGGGGUGAGACUGGGGGGUCAGCCCAGGAGGAAGUUGAAACUUUGACCCUUUCCCCCAUUCUAAAUGCAAACUCUCUCCCCGCCUCCUGCGAGGGGGCGACACAAAAUCCCCUCAGCGGCUCUCCCCGGUGGCCUCACUCCUUCCUCAAGGCUCUGAGAAGUCUUCUCUUGCCUCUCCAAAGCUCGCCUCUCAAGGGGCAGCGGUCACUGAGUGGGCUUCGGGGGAUCUGUGGAGAGAAAGGAGGGGUUCCCACUCCUCAGUCAGCAUCGGGAGGCCAGAGCAUGGGGCCAUACCAACAUCGUGAGGAGCCUUUGGGGAGGCCCCGCUGGCGGCCAGAGGGGGUUGUCCAAUGCUGAGAAAGGCUACCAACGUGAAGACUCUGAACUCAGAGCUGGGAAGAGAUGCACCCACAAGCAUGAACUGACGCAGCUCCGCGGGAGCAGAGCCGGGAAAGGAACCUAGAUUCAGGACUCUGCCCACUGCGCCAGACCACACCUCGCUGUCCUCUUAGCAGAAAUCAUGACCACGCAGUUCAGGGCUGAGCCCCACACUCUGGUGCUUUUGACCACAGCCAGAACGAAAUCAGAAAUCAGACUGAGUCCUUAGGAAUGUGGUAUGACUGGGGAAGCACCUGAGGGCCCAAGCCCCUGCACUUGUGUCCUUUGAGGGGAAAGUGGAAGAGGUGAGAGAAUGAUUCUGAGAACUAUGGGUGGAGUCUUGGCAAACUUCAGAGGCCAAAGAGAAGACAUUUAUGCCAGCUGGCCUUGGACGAUUGUAACCAGAAACGCUGUGGUGGUAUUGUGAUUGGGUGGAAGGCAGAGUGAGGUCAUGCUGGGAGAAGUGGGACAAAGAGGAGGGCAUGCUUCAUCUUUUUUGCAUUUCCUUCAGGGCUAACUUAAGAAAACAGCAAAAAUUAAGUUCACAUGAAAAUCACUUUAAAAAACAAAAGAAGUAUCUGCUAAGAGCCUCCAAAACUCUGGGAUUCUAGAGACAGCUGUUGUUUGGAGACGUUCCCUUGCAAGGAGUUCAGGCCUCUGCUGGUCCUUCCUUGUUCAGCACUCCAGUUCACAGAAUCAUAAAAUUAUAGGGUUUAUUUUAGAGAUGAGAAAAACCUGAGGCCCAGAGAGGUGACAUAAUUUGCCCAAGAUUGCGCCACUAUUUAUUAGGUCAGCAGCAGCUAGAAUUCAAAUUUCCUAGGUCUAGUCUAGCCUUGGAUCUUAAUGUAGAUCCCUAGACAUUAAAAAGUAUGUCUCUAAGUUAUCUUUUGUUAAAAAUUAUUGUAAUAGAAAUGCAUGGCUAUAAUAGAAAAUCUGUAAGGUAUAGAACAUUAAAAAAUGACAAUAAAAAUGACCAUUACGGGGCCAGCCCCUCGGUGUAGUGCUUGGGCUUGGCAUGCUCUGCUUUGGCAGCCCAGGUUCUCAAGUUCAGAUCCCAGACGCAGACCUACACUGCUCGUCAGCCAUGCUGUGGCGGUGACCCACAUAUAAAGUGGAAGAAGAUUGGCACAGGUCUAAUCUUCCUCAGCAAAAAGAAAAAAGAAAAGAAAAGAAAAAAGACCAUUAUGCUGCCACUCAAUCACUGUGAAUCAUGUAUGCUUGCUCCCACCUAGACCAGUGGUUCUCAGCCUCACUGCAUAGUAGUGUCAUCAGGAGGCCUUGUAAAAAUCUCUAUGAAGGGUUGAAAAAUCCCAAUGUCCAGGUUGUACUCCUAAGGAAUUAGAUGAGAAUCUUGGGGUUGGGGGCAGCAAGCAUCAGUAUUAUUUGAAGCUCCUCAGAUGAUGCAAGUGUGCGCCCAAGGUUGAAGACCACUGGACUAGAAUAUUCUCCUCCCAUAUCUUUGCAUAGCUGGCUCCUUCCCAUUGGUCACUUCUCAGUGUUAGCUCCUCAGAGUGGCCUGUCCUCACCACUGCUCCUAAAGCAGUUCCCUCCCAUCCAGUCAUCCUCGAUCCCGACCCUUUUUGAUGUUCUUUGUGGUCUGUAUCAUUAUUUGAAAUUAUCUUAAAUGGAUGCAGGUAUCUGUUUGUUUUCCAUCUCCCUCCUUUAGCAAGUAAGUCCACGGAGGUGGGCCCCUUAACUGUCUUCUUCAUAGCUGUAACCCAAUGCCCUUGCAGUCCCAGGAGCUGGAGGCCCCCGAAACGCAUUUGAUGAAUGAGUGAACGGAUUUAUGGUUACUUCUUCAUCUUUCUUCAUGUGUAUGUAAACAUAUGCAUAUACUUAUAUAUACACAUACACAUGCAACAAAAUUGUGUGUUUUAAAAAUAUAUUUCAGGGACUGGCCUGGUGGUGUAGUGGUUGGGUUCGUGUGCUCCCUUCAGCCGCCCAGGGUUCUCAGGUUCCCAGGCACAGACUUGCACAACGCUCAUCAAGCCAUACUGUGGCGGUGUCCCACAUACAAAAAAGUAGGUGGCAUAGAUGUUAGCUCAGGGACAGUCUUCCUCAAGCAAAAAGAGGAAGAUCGGCAACAGUUGUUAGCUCAGGGCCAAUCUUCUUCACCAGAAAAAAAAUGUAUAUAUAUAAAUAUGUAUACUUCAGAGCCAGCCUUGAUGAUCUAGUGGUUAAAGUUCGGCGUUCUCAUUGUUUUGAUGUCUGGGGUUUGUUUCCUGGUCAUGGAACCACACCACCCGUCUGUUGGUUGCCAUGCUGUGGCAGCAGCUCACAAAGAAGAACUAGAAGGACUUACAACUAGGAUAUACAACCAUGCACUGGGCCUUUGGGGAGAGAAAAAAAAAGAGGAUUGGCAACAGACGUUAGCUUAGGG